CGGAAUCUCCGUUGGAAUAUGGAAUUUUGAUGAUGCCAGAGUCUUCUAGAGGGGUGAAAUGUGAUUUCUAAAAUGAUUUUUAGUGAUUUCAUGGUUUUAAAUGAAAAAGAUUUGAGUUUUGAAAAGAAAAGACCGAGGAGGUUUUUGCCAGGUUCGGCCGCCGAAAGUGAAGUUCGGCCGCCGAACAUGAGUUGGUUUUGGGAGCGCUUUUGGCCUCUGAAAGCUAUGUUUGAACAAACCAGGUUCGGCCGCCGAACCUCAAGUUCGGCCGCCGAACAUAGGGGUGUUUUGCAUGCACGUUAGGCCGCCGAAGGAGGUUUGGCUGGCCACCUAUAAAAGCCCCUCAGACCGAAAAUGGGCGAGUUUUCUCCCCAUUCUCGAGCUCAGGUGUGUUUAUGUCCUCCUUUGGUCAUUUUCAUGUUUUUUCUUCAUCCCCUUCAUAUUUUUAUGAGUUCCAUGGUUGUUUUGAAGAGUUUUCAAGCUUAGAUCAAAGUUUUGGGAGCUUGGAGACCCAAGGAGUAGUUUCCUCCCAUCUCCAAGUUAGAGCUCGCACAAACCCUCGAUCUUCAAGAGGUAAGUGUGGAUCUAUGCUUUUCUUUACGUUUCAUGAAGUUUUAAGUGAGUUUUAAGAGGUUUUGAUGAUUGAGUAUGGGUAGAUAUGCAUGUUAGGGUUUAUGUGGGUUUUAUGCCCAAUGUAUGUUCAUGUGAUGUUUGUGUUGGGGUUUAAGUUAGUUUUCAAGCCCCUUGAGCAUAUGGGAGAGAGUAUGCAUGAUUGGGAGAGAGUAUGUGAGGUUUGGUUUGUUUUAGUGGUUUUGGCUUAUGUGGGUCAUAAGCUCGUUAUGUAUGUUUCUUGAUGUUGUUUUUAGGAGUUUAAGCUUGUUUAAGCUCCUUUGUGCAUGGUUAAGGAAGAAUGCAUGUGUUUGAGAAAUUGGGUGCUUGUUUUGGGGUGUAUGGAAGGUUUGGGAGGCUUGAAAUGCACAAAGGCUGAGUUCUGGAUGAACUCAGGUUCGGCCGCCGAAGGUGGUUUCGGCCGCCGAACCUGCCUGAGGAUGCAUGGUUUGGCCGCCUAACCUUGCCCCCGAAAGUUGAGUUUUGGCUUGAAAGCAGACUUUCGGCCGCCGAAGGUGAAGUUCAGCCGCCGAAAGUGCCUGACUUUCGUCUCUGGAGAAGGACUUUCGGCCGCCGAAAGUGCCCGAGUUUCGCCUCUGGAGAGAGGGUUCGGCCGCCGAAGGUGCCGCCGAAAGUGCCCUGUCCAGCCUUUUCAUGAAUGUUUUCUAUGCAUGUUUAAGUGAUGCUUUAGGGGGUUUUUGGGUAGUUGUUUAUGAGUUGUUUAGAGCAUGUUUGGC
rnacentral:lncRNA from 1 species